CACAGCUGCUCACCAUGGAGAGUGUGCUCAGCUGGGUUUUCCUGGUGGCUGUUUUCAAAGGUGUCCAGUGUGAGGUGCASCUGGUGGAGUCUGGGGGARGCCUGGUGCAGCCUGGGGGUUCCCUGCGACUCUCCUGUGCAGCCUCUGGAUUCACCUUCAGUGAUUACUGGAUGAGCUGGGUCCGCCAGGCUCCAGGGAAGGGGUUGGAGUGGGUUGCAGAAAUUAACCAAAAUGGUGGCACCAUAAACUAUGCCAACUCUAUGAAGGGCCGAUUCACCAUCUCCAGAGACAACUCCAAGAACACCCUGUACCUGCAAAUGAGCAGUCUGAGAACUGAGGACACUGCCACCUAUUACUGUGCUAGAGCCACAGACCUAAUGCAGAAGCUUCCCCACAUGAGGGAUGGUGUGGUGAUGGUCUCCCUCUGCCUGACCCAUUUCAGCUAG